UACGUAGGGUGCGAGCGUUGUCCGGAAUUAUUGGGCGUAAAGAGCUCGUAGGCGGUGUGUCACGUCGGCCGUGAAAACCUGGGGCUUAACUCUGGGCGUGCGGUCGAUACGGGCAUCACUAGAGUUCGGCAGGGGAGACUGGAAUUCCUGGUGUAGCGGUGAAAUGCGCAGAUAUCAGGAGGAACACCGGUGGCGAAGGCGGGUCUCUGGGCCGAUACUGACGCUGAGGAGCGAAGGCAUGGGUAGCGAACAGG
rnacentral:rRNA from 1 species